ACUCUUAUUUUAAACUUUGUACUCCAAUACGAUGACUAUUUAUUUGCAUAACGACGUUUUUAUUCCUGUAAAUCUUAGUAUACAUACAUAUUGUACAAUAUUUCAAACAUAUGUUUGUAUGUACCUAAAUGUGUUGAGGUGCAUACUUAUGUAUUUAUGCACUUGAGAGGGUGUGGGGGUAUUAUAGUAGCGGUGCGUACCGCUUUACCCACAACAAGUGAGUCUGGCGAGUAUGACAAACUCAAUUAAUUCCCAGAAGUCAAAUAUUAAUCAUCGACCAACUAUGAGCAGGGGAAGGUCCCCCCAAAAACAAAACAACCUCAUUUUUUUACACAAACGUAGUGUCUGCAAAACGAGUUAAACAACACUUGCUUGAUUUUCGCAAACUUAACAGCCGCUUUCAGCCACUACACAACAAUACUUAGUGAAUAGAAGGGCAAAACACUGAAGAUCGGACAAUAAUCAUAACAAAGUAAAUGCAUAUAUACGAAUACAUUUAACUCUCAGUCGAGGGAGUAAAAUUUAUCAAAAACAAUAAAAACCGGAGAGUACAGCUCAAACAGCUGGAACAAAUACCGACACGAUCAUUGACAGCACAAAGUCAUCAACGAAACAACAACCGAAAGCUCCACCUUUGUAUUCUCCACUCAUAUCGAAUACGAAGUAGCUUUUCAGCAACUGUCCACCGAUCAGUGGGUGACUUCUGGUGCCGCGUAGUGUACGUCAUAUUGUCAGUUCAAUUUUGCUCGCAUCGUUGGGCGGUUGUGUUUUAAGAAGCGAACAGUUUUUCGAUUUUUAAUGAAAUUUGUGUUACAUUUCAUAACUUAAACGACAAAGUUGUGUGGUUAAAUGUGGUACUUACAUGAUCAUAUACCACUAGAAAUUGCCUUAAAUAAUUGAACCUAAAAUUAGUGCAGCUUCAUUACAUACGACAUUUCGAUCACUCAGCUUAAACCGUGCAGUACACACGAAUAUUCAUCGAAUCGCGUCUAUUUAUGUGCAAAGUGAAUUAAAUAUAGGUAUCCCAUUAAAUUCAGUUGCAUGGCAGAAAAAGCUGCCACUUCAAAUCCAGUUACCAGCAAUUGUCAUUGUAUUAAUCGAAUUGUUUAACUUAUUAAAUCUACGAGGGGUCUAAAAUACUCGGUUGCAAACAGCGUAUAUAAUUGAAUUAUGUUGUAUUGUAACUCAAGGAGACGAAGUACAGCGAAGUGUUCGACAAUCGACGGAAUUUCCUACAAAAUGCGAUCCUGCCAACAGUGUUCAGUAUUUAUAGUUUUAGUCACCUUAGUAGCCGUAAUUGGUACUGUUUAUCCCAACCCUGUACAGACGACAACACAAGCUGAGAUUUAUCUAUCACAAUUUGGGUAUCUGCCUGCAUCAGCCCGUAAUCCUGCAAACGGCGGUUUACUUGAUGCAAGCACAUGGACUAAAGCUGUGCAAGAUUUCCAAAGUUUUGCUGGCUUAAAUGUAACGGGAGACUUGGAUGGAGAAACUUUGGAGCUAAUGUCAUUGCCACGGUGUGGUGUUAGGGAUAAGGUGGGAUUUGGCACCGAUAGUCGUUCUAAGCGAUAUGCUUUACAGGGAAGCAGGUGGCGUGUUAAGGCUUUGACAUAUAAGAUUUCUAAAUAUCCUAAACGACUCAAACGUAACGAUGUUGACGCCGAAAUAGCACGUGCUUUCAGUGUAUGGAGCGAUUUCACAGAUUUAUCAUUUACUCCCAAGGCUUCUGGACCAGUUCACAUAGAAAUUAAAUUCGUUGAAAGUGAACAUGGGGAUGGUGAUGCAUUUGAUGGGGUUGGUGGUACCUUGGCUCACGCAUUCUUUCCUGUUUUUGGCGGUGAUGCACAUUUUGAUGAUGCUGAAUUAUGGACGAUUGGAUCACCUCGUGGAACAAACCUUUUCCAAGUAGCAGCACACGAAUUUGGCCAUUCAUUGGGCUUGUCUCACUCAGAUGUACGUUCUGCUCUGAUGGCACCAUUUUAUCGUGGAUUUGAUCCCGUAUUUAAACUUGACUCCGAUGACGUUCUUGCUAUUCAAGCUCUAUAUGGUAAAAAAACUGUCGGAGUAGCUGAUCGUGGUGGUUUCCCAAAAACAACCCAAAGACCACUGCUUUCAGCACCAAAAGUGCCACGGGACGACCUCAUUUGCAAAGAUCCAAAAGUUGAUACCUUAUUUAAUUCGGCCGAUGGACAAACAUACGCAUUUAAAGGAAACAAAUACUACAGACUCACUGAAAACUCUAUUGCAGACGGUUAUCCCAAACUUAUAUCAGAAGGCUGGGCGGGUUUACCGGGCGAUAUAGAUGCAGCAUUUACAUACAAAAAUGGCAAGACAUAUUUCUUUAAGGGUACCAAAUAUUGGCGUUACAAUGGACGACAAAUGGAUGGUGACUAUCCAAAAGAAAUUAGUGAAGGAUUUACAGGGAUACCAGAUCAUUUGGACGCUGCUAUGGUUUGGGGAGGUAAUGGCAAAAUUUACUUCUACAAGGGUAGUAAAUUUUGGCGCUUCGACCCAUUAAAACGACCGCCAGUCAAAUCAAGCUAUCCGAAACCCAUCUCUAAUUGGGAAGGCCUGCCAAAUAAUAUUGACGCUGCAUUGCAGUACACCAAUGGCUAUACAUACUUUUUCAAGGGUGACAAAUACUAUAGAUUCAACGACAGAACAUUCUCGGUCGACGCAGCAAACCCGCCAUUCCCUCGACCAUCUGCCCACUGGUGGUUCGGAUGCAAAAAUGUGCCGUCUUCAACAGGCAUUAAAAAACGUGGCUGAACUCACAAAAUCCUUUAUUUCAUACAAAUAUGUAUGUAUCAUACAAAUAUGUAUAUAUAUAAUGCCUAACUUAUAACACAUUUGAAGGUUAAAAAUCAGGGAUUAGUAGUAUGUACGAAUUGUAGGUACGAGUAUACCUAUUAUGCCAGCAAACAAUGUAUGCAUCCAUUCGUAGAUACAAAACUAACCAAAUGUGUUGUAUGGUUGCGUAUUUUGAGCCACUUACUAUGGUAAAUCUGCGUGCAUAUGCUAUCAUCUCUCAUCGAUGCAGAUAUGAAUGUACAAGUAUGUAGCUGCGUGUAGUUUUAAAAAGAUUAGUCGUGUUUUUACAAAUAGCUUAAUUAAUUUAGUAGCAAUUAUUAUAUAAGUAAUUACAUGCACUAAUAUGUUUGUUUAGAAAAUUAUUGUAGUAGUAUUUAUACAAAUUUGUAAUAGUAUCGGUAGUUUAGAGGGAUACUGCAUCUCAAUGUAUGUAUGUAUAUCCAUUAUAGUAUUUUUUUAUGCACAUUACCGAAGUAAAUAUGUAUAAAUUUUGAUUUAUAUAAUUCUUACAUUUCUAUUUUUGCCACCAUCACUUACAUACAUAUAUUUGCGACGAAAAAAUGACUUCUGCUGGAAAUUUUUAAAUAUUUUUACAAAUGAAAGAUGAGAAGCCUGGCAGAGGGAAUAUCCCUGUUUGGAUGUGGAACAUAGCGAAUUCUUUCUUUUAAUUGUACCAUAUAUAUUUCUUAAUUGUAUCCAACGAUGUCCCUCAACACCCAAAAAUAGUGUAAAACUAAAGAGACAACUUUAAAGUUAAAAAAGUAGUGUAAGAACCAUAGGCUUGUAAAUUUGUUAGUUAAUUUGUGUAUGCAAAACAACUAAAGUUGAUAAAUAUCAUCUAUACCGUGUAUAAAUGUGGAACUAGGCAGACCAUCCAGCCCAUCGCUAUUAUCAUCCAGCUUCCUCAUUCAUCAAAACAUUAUAUAUCGCUUGUCUUCGUCAAACUAUGUCCAGCUCAUGGAGGUAGUGCGUCCGGCAGCAGUAGCACCAGUUGAAGCUGUACUAUUACGAGUAAAAAUAAAUUCCUUGAAAGAGAAAACUAGCGCUUACUUCUGUGGCCGCACCGUCUCCAUGCCGUAUAUCCUGCUUACAUCUGCAAAACAACAACACCACAAAUUCCGAAAGAAUGCUCGCAAAUGAAAUGACGACCAUCAAGCUCAUGACCAAUCUCCAGAAGCCGAUGUUUCGAGACAAAGCAAUUCUGCGAACAACUAUUAUACAUCACACAACUGGAGUAUGCUCUUGGGGACGUUGUUGAUGGUGCUAAUUUAUAAUUUUAAAAGUAGAUAAAAAUCACGCAGGCUAAACAAAUGCAUAUGUCAAUAAUAUAACGCCAAAUAUAAUAAUAUAUGAGCAGAGAAAUUGUAUAUUCAUCUCCUCCCAGUUCUAUAAAUACCCGCACCUGCGCCCUUCUUCAAUGUUUCGAACUCAUGUACACGAAAAUUAGCUUUAAAGGAAUGUAUAAAUAACUGUUAUCACGUACAUAUGUACUUAUAUCAUAAUUAUACCUAUAAGCUCAUUUCUUAGUUUUAGCAAUUUAAACAAAUUGUGACAUUUUAGCUAACUUAGUGUAGACUAUUAACUUUAGUUUCCUAAGUAAAAGCAUUUGUGGUAAUGGGGCAGAGAAUGACCCAAUAAUUGUAAAGAGUGUACGUGCAGUUCAAAAAAGUGCAAAAAGCGUAAUUUUUGAAAAUUCAGAAUUUUUCAAGUCGAGCUCUAAACAAAUUAAAAUAGAUUACCUCUAAUGAAUAUAGAAUCCUAAAUCGACAAAGGUAUAUUUUCAAAACCAAAUUUAUCCAUUUGUUAUUAUAUUAAUAUUUUUGUACUUGAGAUUUUAAAUCACUUAAUAUGCUCUCUUAAGAAUUUCUUUCAACCGAGUAAAGUUUUCAUGCCUAGUCGGCACAGAAUUGUUCACAUGUACAGAAAUAAUUAUGUAUUGUAUUUCAGCAUUGUAAGUAAAAAUAUUUAAUUUUGUUAAUUUCUUUCAGCCUUAAAGCCAUUGUAAAGCAAAUUGUAACUUUAAAUAAUAUUUUUUUACAAAUAAGAAUAUUAUGUAAGAUGGUAAUUAUAAUUUGAUUACUAUUUCCUAGCUAUUGUACAUUUUAUUGUGUGUAGAGACGUUUUCAAACCACGGAAUUAAUAUUUAACUCCAGAUAUCAAAAUUAUGAUAGGUUUGUUCAAAAGUUUGUAUAUACUUUUUUAUUACUUAAAUAAGCUUAAUUGGAAUUGUCGCAAAAUACAAACUUACACUAAAAUUUUACUGUUUUAUAUUACAUAUGUAUAUUUUCAUUUCUGGGAAACGCAGCAAUAAUUCAAACGUGUCUCGAAAAAGAAGUAGAAGCCCCUCACAACUAUUUUACAUAUUUAUAUUUUAUAUUUAUUUAGCAAGACUUCGACACACAAAAAUGACACUUGUUAAUCUCAUCACCGAGGACAUUUGAAGCUAAUCUACUCAAAAUCUCCCUGUGCGACUUUGAUUUAGCGCCAAAAUGUAAACAAACAAAUAAACUAAAAGCAAUGCAUAUGAAUUCCCCUGGCAAUCGACUUCCCAAAUCAAAAAAUGUGGCCACUAUUCCCAUUAAAUAAAAAAUAUUUAAAACAAGACGACUUUUAUAACAAAAUA